rnacentral:rRNA from 1 species
UACUCCUACGGGAGGCAGCAGUGGGGAAUAUUGGACAAUGGGCGCAAGCCUGAUCCAGCCAUACCGCGUGGGUGAAGAAGGCCUUCGGGUUGUAAAGCCCUUUUGUUGGGAAAGAAAAGCAUUCGGUUAAUACCCGGGUGUUCUGACGGUACCCAAAGAAUAAGCACCGGCUAACUUCGUGCCAGCAGCCGCGGUAAUACGAAGGGUGCAAGCGUUACUCGGAAUUACUGGGCGUAAAGCGUGCGUAGGUGGUGGUUUAAGUCCGUUGUGAAAGCCCUGGGCUCAACCUGGGAAUUGCAGUGGAUACUGGGUCACUAGAGUGUGGUAGAGGAUAGUGGAAUUUCCGGUGUAGCAGUGAAAUGCGUAGAGAUCGGAAGGAACACCUGUGGCGAAGGCGACUAUCUGGGCCAACACUGACACUGAGGCACGAAAGCGUGGGGAGCAAACAGGAUUAGAUACCCUGGUAGUCCACGCCCUAAACGAUGCGAACUGGAUGUUGGGUUCAACUUGGAACCCAGUAUCGAAGCUAACGCGUUAAGUUCGCCGCCUGGGGAGUACGGUCGCAAGACUGAAACUCAAAGGAAUUGACGGGGGCCCGCACAAGCGGUGGAGUAUGUGGUUUAAUUCGAUGCAACGCGAAGAACCUUACCUGGUCUUGAUAUCCACGGAACUUUCCAGAGAUGGAUUGGUGCCUUCGGGAACCGUGAGACAGGUGCUGCAUGGCUGUCGUCAGCUCGUGUCGUGAGAUGNUGGGUUAAGU